AACGAACGCUGGCGGCAGGCCUAACACAUGCAAGUCGAGCGCGCCGCGAGGGGAGCGGCGGACGGGUGAGUAACGCGUGGGAAUUUUCCUCAAGGUACGGAACAACUCAGGGAAACUUGGGCUAAUACCGUAUGAUGCAGAGAUGCCAAAGAUUUAUCGCCUUGGGAUAAGCCCGCGUCAGAUUAGGUAGUUGGUGGGGUAACGGCCUACCAAGCCUGCGAUCUGUAGCUGGUCUGAGAGGACGAUCAGCCACAUUGGGACUGAGACACGGCCCAAACUCCUACGGGAGGCAGCAGUGGGGAAUCUUGCGCAAUGGGCGAAAGCCUGACGCAGCCAUGCCGCGUGAAUGAUGAAGGUCUUAGGAUUGUAAAGUUCUUUCGCCCGUGACGAUGAUGACGGUAACGGGAGAAGAAGCCCCGGCUAACUUCGUGCCAGCCGCCGCCGUAAUAC
rnacentral:rRNA from 1 species